GAGGGAGAGGGGGAGGGAGACAAAUAGAGACAGAGACAGAUCGCGAUGGAAAGAGAGCGAGGGGGAGGGGUAGGGGUCUCAGUGCCAUUGCUGUAGAUGGAUUUCACAAGUGGGAGAGUGAGGAUGGUCUAAGAAAACCAUAGGGGUCGUUAGGAUUUGAGGGAAAGGGGUAGGGGUCAUGAACAGAGACAACUGAGGGUGAUGUGUGCCUGAUCUUGCGAUGCAUGCUGGGAUUUCCAAAGGUGGUGUAGAAAUUGGAUUUACAUCAAAUUGCACUCAGAGGAGAAGCCAAAUAAGUUAUGUGCAUCAUCUGCAUCAGGCGAGUUGGCGGGAAGCAACGCUAUUCUUGAUAGUUCGAUCAACUUUCGGGCAAUGGAAAACUAGUGA